rnacentral:lncRNA from 1 species
UGUUACACAAAGGGUUAACCGGUGACGCCCACCCGCGUACCGGUACCCUGCACCCCGAACAGCAGCUGCAGUCUGCUGCAAAUAAAAAGAAAUGGAGGGUCUAUGUGCUAUUGUAGCAACCUAUAAAUAAACCCUAACCCCUCCCCUCUCAUUCCAGCAAUGAAUACACCUCUUUUCUCUCAUUUCUCUCCCCCUCUCUCUAGAAACUCUCUCCCAAGGUGGAAGAAGGA